rnacentral:rRNA from 1 species
GACGAACGCUGGCGGCGUGCUUAACACAUGCAAGUCGAACGGAAAGGCCCUUUCGGGGGUACUCGAGUGGCGAACGGGUGAGUAACACGUGGGUGAUCUGCCCUGCACUUCGGGAUAAGCUUGGGAAACUGGGUCUAAUACCGGAUAGGACUAUGGCAUGCAUGUGCUGUGGUGGAAAGUGCGGUGUGUAAAAAGCAUUGUGCGGUGUGGGAUGGGCCCGCGGCCUAUCAGCUUGUUGGUGGGGUGAUGGCCUACCAAGGCGACGACGGGUAGCCGG